rnacentral:lncRNA from 1 species
UGCAGACAUCCCUCCCCUCCAGAACAAGGGGGCUGGAGCCCUGGGCCAAGGGAGACCUGUGACCCCAGGUGCCGCCGGGAGAACUUCAGCCCAGAGGGGAAAUCAGCUCUCCGUGACCCAGCACCCCUACCCAGCAGCGCAACAGAUCCUGAGAGGAGCUACAGGAUGAUUCUAGAAACAGCGCACUUCAGGAAUCAUGUUGCAGGUGUUGUGCAUUGGAUCCACCACAGUCGGCUGAAACUGACAACUCAAGACAAGUGGACCAGCCAGCAGGACCCAGAUCAUCCAACUCGGCUGAUCCUGAGACGGGACCAAACUGCUGCCGAAGACGACCGCCCUGUUCUGGUCACUCCGGAGGCUAACCAGCCUACGCAUGGCUGAAGUUUGAGGAAACAACAAGCCCUGCUCUAGUCACACACUGAAAGCUGACUAGUCUAUGCACGGCCAAAGCUUGAGGACUCAUCAAGCAAGUAAAUGUAGUUAGAAAUCUUAGAACUAGUAGUUUUCCUUGUAAUAUUAACUGUUUUACUAUUGUUCUGUCACUGUGCUCAACCUCCUCUCCCAAAUAAGGACCUCUUCUGUCCUUACUAGAUAUGAAUAUACUGUACAUUGUUUUACUGUUGUUACCCCACUUAACCAUGCUAGAAGAAACACCCAUAGAAGGGUGUCCCCAUCGUACACAUACUACAUGGUCAGAAAACAGUAUAACCAGGACUCUAUUAUACCAUACUUAUUAUGAGUAUACAGGGACUCACCUAGGAACUUGUACUUACAAUCAGAUCACCUAUUCAAUUUAUGACCCAGGAAAUGGCCAGCUACCUAGGUGGAAGAUAGGUCAUGGAGUUACCGUACUCCUACUUACGUGCUUAAGCGCAUCAUAAGGUUACAGGCAGGGCUUGAGAUCAUCACUAAUAAACAUCAAAUGCAUUAGAUUUACUGACCCAGCAAGCUACAAAAAAUGAGGAAUGCUAUCUAUCAGAACAGAUUAGCUUUAGACUAUCUCCUAGCCCAGGAAGGAGGAGUAUGUGGAAAAUUCAAUCUAACUAAUUGUUGCCUGGAAAUCAAUGACAAUGGAAAGACAUUUAUGGAAAUAACUGCAAGAAUAAGAAAAUUAACCCACGUUCCAGUUCAAACGUAGAAAGGGUGGUCUCCAGAUUCUCUCUUUGGAGGCUGUUUUUCAUUUUUCGGAGGGUUCAAGACUUUAAUAAGAUUGAUUCUGGCCAUACUAGGAAGUUGCCUAAUACUACCUUGUCUCUUACCUCUCCUUGUUAGAAACAUUCAGUCAACUAUAGAGGCAAUAGUAGCUAGGCAAACUACCAGUCAGCUAAUGGCUCUAUGUAAAUGUCAACCUUUGUCUAAAGAAGAAAACUUGUCUCUUCAUGCAAAAUUAAAUAAUAGUGAUGCCUCCUAUUAAAUUUCUUUUAUAAAAGGCAUCAAAGGGGGGAAACUGAGGCAGAAAUUUAAAAAUAAAUAUGCAUUCAUUCACUCCAAGAAAAGUUAACAGGCAAGGCAAGGGUUAAAAAGAAAAGAACAAGUUUUCCUCGGCCUAGCAAGCUCACUUCAAGGACAGUUAUAAGAUAAUGUUGUUUGAGAAGCCAAGUCCAAAGGAAUGGGUUCCAGACAUCCCUCCCCUCUAGAACAAGGUUGAAGGAAAAAAAAAAAAAAAGAAGAAGACAAAUUCCUUUACUGUUACUCCUUUCCCUGGCUUCUUAAGCAUGAUUAUGUUUUACAAAUGUCUGUAUUUAGCCAGUUCUUGAUUUUCUUUUGACACAGCUCCAAGGCCACCAGCUAUGCAAGGCCACAAGUUAUGCACUAUAUGAUUAACUGCUUUUGUUUUACUUUUGUAAGUCCACUUAUAAAAACCCUGCUCUGUCUUUGUUUAAUGCUCAGCUUUUUGGAUUUGAAUCCACUCAGCCGGUGCACACCUUAAAAUAAACAUCCUCCUGUACUCUCAUAUUGGUCUCUCCAUUCCUCAGUUUCCCACAAGAUUACAAGCAUGAGCCACCGCACCGGGCCCAUUUUAACCAUUUUCAAAUGGAGAAUUCAGUGGUAUUAGGUACAUUUAUAUUGUUGUGCAACCAUCACCACUAUCCAUCUACAGAACUCUUUUUAUCUUGUGAAACUAAAACUCUAUACCCAUUAAACACUAACUCCUCACUCCUCCCUUCCCUCAUCACUUGACAGCCAUCCUUCUACUUUAUGUCUCUAUUCAUAGGUAUGAGCUCCCCCAUGCCUGCCCAAAUCACUAAUCUAAAAGGAAAUGUCAAGCUGAGAACUUCUUAGGGCAAACCUGCCUCCCAUUCUAUUCAAAGUUACCCCUCUGCUCAGAGAUAAAUGCAUAUCUCAUUGCCUCCUUUGGAGAAGCUAAUCAGAAACUCAAAAGAAUGCAACCAUUUGUCUCUUUUCUACCUAUGACCUGGAAGCCCCCUCCCUGCUUUGAGCUGUCCCGCCUUUCUGGACCAAACCAAUGUUCAUCUUACAUAUAUUAACUGAUGUCUCAUUUCUCCCUAAAAUGUAUAAAACCAAGCUAUGGUCUGACUACCCUGGGCACAUGACAUCAGGACCUCCUGAGACUGCGCCAUGGGUGCACAUCCUCAACUGUGGCAAAAUAAACUUUAUUUUUUAUUUUUAUUUAUUUUUUAGAGACAGAGUCUCGCUCUGUAGCCCAGGCUGGAGUACAGUGAUGCAGUCUCGACUCACUGCAACCUCCACCUCCCAGGUUCAAACAAUUCUCGUGCCUCAGCCUCCUGAGUAGCUGGAAUUACAGGCUUGCGCCACCACACCCGGUUAAUUAGCAAAAUAAAUUUUCUAAAUUAA